rnacentral:rRNA from 1 species
CCUACGGGGGGCAGCAGUGGGGAAUAUUGGACAAUGGGGGCAACCCUGAUCCAGCCAUGCCGCGUGUGUGAAGAAGGCCCUCGGGUUGUAAAGCACUUUCAGUGAGGAAGAACGCCUGGUGGUUAAUACCCAUCAGGAAAGACAUCACUCACAGAAGAAGCACCGGCAUAACUCCGUGCCAGCAGCCGCGGUAAUACGGAGGGUGCGAGCGUUAAUCGGAAUUACUGGGCGUAAAGCGCGCGUAGGUGGCUUGAUAAGCCGGUUGUGAAAGCCCCGGGCUCAACCUGGGAACGGCAUCCGGAACUGUCAAGCUAGAGUGCAGGAGAGGAAGGUAGAAUUCCCGGUGUAGCGGUGAAAUGCGUAGAGAUCGGGAGGAAUACCAGUGGCGAAGGCGGCCUUCUGGACUGACACUGACACUGAGGUGCGAAAGCGUGGGUAGCAAACAGGAUUAGAUACCCCUGUAGUC